GGGGAUACGCUCUGGAAACGGAGUCAAAGACCCCAUAGGAACCGAUAAGGCAUCUUAUUGGUUUGAAACAAGCAAAGGCAACUUGGCUUGGGAGGCGGAUGGACCUGCGGUGCAUUAGCUUGUUGGCAGUAUAAAAGACUACCAAGGCGAUGAUGCAUAGCCGGCCCGAGAGGGCGGACGGCCACACUGGGACUGAGACACGGCCCAGACUCCUGCGGGAGGCAGCAGUAGGGAAUUUUCGUCAAUGGGCGCAAGCCUGAACGAGCAAUGCCGCGUGAGUGAAGAAGGUCUUCGGAUUGUAAAGCUCUGUUGCGGGGGAAAAAGGCAGACCACAGGAAAUGGUGGACUGUUGAUGGUACCCCGCCAGAAAGCCACGGCUAACUACGUGCCAGCAGCCGCGGUAAUACGUAGGUGGCAAGCGUUAUCCGGAAUGAUUGGGCGUAAAGGGUGCGCAGGCGGCGGUUCAAGUCUGAGGUGAAAGGUGUGAGCUUAACUUGCACAGGCUUUGGAAACUGGACUGCUUGAGGACAGGAGAGGGCGGCGGAACUCCAUGUGUAGCGGUAAAAUGCGUAGAUAUAUGGAAGAACACCAGUGGCGAAGGCGGCCGCCUGGACUGUGCCUGACGCUGAGGCACGAAAGCGUGGGGAGCAAAUAGGAUUAGAUACCCUAGUAGUCCACGCUGUAAACGAUGAGGAGCAGGUGUCGGGGGCAGCACCCCGGUGCCGAAGCAAACGCAGUGACUCCUCCGCCUGGGGAGUAUGCACGCAAGUGUGAAACUCAAAGGAAUUGACGGGGGCCCGCACAAGCGGUGGAGCAUGUGGUUUAAUUCGAAGCAACGCGAAGAACCUUACCAAGUCUUGACAUCCCCCUGACAGGUCCGUAACGGGGCCCUUCCUUCGGGACAGGGGAGACAGGUGGUGCAUGGGUUGUCGUCAGCUCGUGUCGUGAGAUGUGGGGUUAAGUCCCGCACGAGCGCAACCCCUGUGCUAGUAGCCAGCAGUAGAUG
rnacentral:rRNA from 1 species